ACAUAUAUAUAUAUAUAUAUAUAUAUAUAUAGAGAGAGAGAGAGAGAGAGAGAGAGAGAGAGAGAGAGAGAGAGAGAGAGAGAGAGAGUUGAGCUAAAAUGAUUAUUAUAGCCAAACAGGUUUCGUUGCCAUCUAUUUAUUUUCGAUAAUGUAGCCUCCAAAUCGACGAUCGGCACCAUUGAACAUGAUCUAAACCGCUUGAAGUGUUUAUAAAUCAAAUUUCAAAUAUUUUCGACAUCAUUUGCCUAAUAAUUAAAAGGUUUCAAAAUUUGUAAUUUUAACAGUCGAUAUGAGGUGUUUUCUCGUUUAACGGCGUAAAAAUAUCCAAAUCAAUUGAAUUUUUGUUAGAAAAUUCUUUAAACUAUUAAAACAAGAUCUAUACUCUUGAUCUGGAUUACAAGACUCCUAUCAUCAUUUUUUAAAGAAUAUUCAUUUUCAGCCGUUCAUUUUUGUGUCCACUCGAUGGACAAGAGAACAACAUCGAAAGUGUAUGAAAUUUAAUUUAUAAACACUUCAAGUGGUAUAGAUCAUGUUUAACGAUGUCAAUCAUCGAUUUAGAGGCUCCAUCAUAAAAAAUAAAUGGGUGACAACGGAGCUCGUUUGCUAUCGAUAGUAUUCUAGCUCAACUAUAUAUAUAUAUAUAUAUAUAUAUAUAUAUUAUAGAUUAUAGUAUGAUUUUUUAAUUUCUUAUUAAGUAGGAGAUUUAUCACUUUUGUUUGUUAAGUCUAUGUUACUUUUCAGAUGACAAGUUUAAUAAUGUUUUAGCUUAUUAGGGGGUAAAACAGAAUUUUAUGAAUAAUCUAUUCAAUUUACGUNCAUAAGUUUUUAACUGUUAUAUAUACCCUUUUAAUCAUUUCCAUAUGUUAGACCAUAUUAUUCGACCAAUCAUCCACUCAACUCUAGCGGACUACUAUCAUUCUAAUCGGGAUCACUAUCACACUAACCGCAUAUUCUUUCAUUCAACAGUCAAAAUUUAUAAGUACAAAAAACUCUACAUUCAUAAAUGUAUAGUAACGAAGUCAUAUAUAUAUAUAUAUAUAUAUAUAUAUAUAGAGAGAGAGAGAGAGAGAGAGAGUCCGGCUGCUAUGUUAUCGAUAGCACCAAGUACUUGGUGCUAUCAAAUUUUCUGCCGUUAGAUUAACCCCUUUGAUUGUUUUUAUUCAUUACAUUAUACUAUUCAACCAACCACCCACCCAACCCUAAAGAGCCCACAUUAUCCUAACCGAACAUUUCUUAAUCUAAGAGCUAAGAAACUAAUAGCACCAAUAACUUGGUGCUAUUGAUAGUAUUCCAACCUAGUUCUCUCUCUAUAGAUAUAUAUAUAGUACAUUUUAUUUUUGUCGAGUUUAUGGAACUGUAUUUUUUUUGCCAAAUC
rnacentral:lncRNA from 1 species